rnacentral:rRNA from 1 species
UGGGGAAUAUUGCACAAUGGGCGAAAGCCUGAUGCAGCAACGCCGCGUGAGUGAUGAAGGUCUUCGGAUUGUAGAGCUCUGUCUUUUGGGACGAUAAUGACGGUACCAAAGGAGGAAGCCACGGCUAACUACGUGCCAGCAGCCGCGGUAAUACGUAGGUGGCGAGCGUUGUCCGGAUUUACUGGGCGUAAAGGGUGCGUAGGCGGAUGUUUAAGUGAGAUGUGAAAUACCCGGGCUUAACUUGGGUGCUGCAUUUCAAACUGGAUAUCUAGAGUGCAGGAGAGGAGAAUGGAAUUCCUAGUGUAGCGGUGAAAUGCGUAGAGAUUAGGAAGAACACCAGUGGCGAAGGCGAUUCUCUGGACUGUAACUGACGCUGAGGCACGAAAGCGUGGGUAGCAAACAGGAUUAGAUACCCUGGUAGUCCACGCCGUAAACGAUGAGUACUAGGUGUAGGAGGUAUCGACCCCUUCUGUGCCGCAGUAAACACAUUAAAGUACUCCGCCUGGGAAGUACGAUCGCAAGAUUAAA